GUCAAAAGAGAGAGGAGAGAUGUCCAGCGCAGAGGGGGUCCGGAGAAAGGUAAGUGUUUAACCUCUUCAGCCCCCAUCAGCCCAGCAGGAGGGGGGCCAUGAGGGUGGGGGGGACCCAAAGACCAUAUAGUGCCAGGGAAACAUAAGUUUCCAAUGCUGAUAAAGGAACUAACAAAAAUCCCUAUUCUGAUAAGAACUGAGGUUGUGCACAGAGGGCGUUGAAAUCUG